UACGAAGGGGGCUAGCGUUGCUCGGAAUCACUGGGCGUAAAGCGCACGUAGGCGGCUCUUUAAGUCAGGUGUGAAAUCCUGGAGCUCAACUCCAGAACUGCCUUUGAUACUGAGAAGCUUGAGUCCGGGAGAGGUGAGUGGAACUGCGAGUGUAGAGGUGAAAUUCGUAGAUAUUCGCAAGAACACCAGUGGCGAAGGCGGCUCACUGGCCCGUUACUGACGCUGAGGUGCGAAAGCGUGGGGAGCAAACAGG
rnacentral:rRNA from 1 species